AUAGUAAGCUAUGCGAUCAUACCGUCCACCGUGUUCUAAAGGAAGUUCCGCUAAAGUCUUCGCGGCUUUCAGCCAUUGCUCUCUCGAUUCGUAAACUGCAGCUAAGUUCUCUCGAAUUUUCGCGAUUUCAUCUUCAAAUGCACUGGAACGAGACCGAGUAUUUUCUAUUGUAUAAUUGGCCAAUUCAAUGUGCAACUCGCUCGGAAGCCUUGGCAUGUUCUUUGAAAACUCUUGAAAAAUAACGUGACAUACUGCAGAUGCCGUCGAACUCGAUAUUACUUUUCAAAGGCAUAACGUUAGUUAAGCUAAAUAUACAUGGUAGUUGGCCGAAGUUAAAAACCGUGUUCCUUCAAAAAAGAGAGACAUUUUUGAGUACGUAUUGCUUCGAUUUCCCUUAAUCGAGCUUCAAUCAUACAGACGGCAUACACACAAAACUGGGUAGCUGCAAACUUAAAUUUUUAUAAAUGCUCAAAAAAAUAUGCCUAGUGGCACGAUCGACAAUAUCUCAAUGCGCAUUAAUUUUGUUUUUAGUUUGUGCUUAAAAGCGUAUGCUUCUUGCAUAGAUAUGGCACUCAAAAAACUACGCGUAACUGGCUGCAGAGAGAACUGUUGGUUGAACAGAAGCGGACGUUGCAACUCUGGAACAGCGUGAUAACUAAGCAGCAAGCACUCUCGGUCGCACACAGAAUGGUGGCAAUAGCGAAGAAUUAACAUUUUUUGGCCGUUUUGGCAGCUUAACAUCAUAGCUAGUUUCCCAUAAGAAAAUCAGCUAGCAGCAGACCUUAUCAACAAAUAUUUGGUGACAAACACUUCUGCAAUACAUACGGCUAAAACCGUAUUUUACGCAGUCAUUGCAUCUUCUAGAAGUCCAUGACCUCUCUCGUCAACCAUCAACCAUGAGCAAUGGCGGCAGAUGAUUGAGCGUAGCGCAGCCCACUCAUUGACAACAUGUUGAUAAAUUUUACUAUAGAGUCCGCCUAUUUUCUGAAUUGGCCCAAUCUUAUCUAGGACUCUGGUAUCACACAGUCAGCUCAAGAAAUUCAAUUUCCCAAUUUAUUCGGGUUGGUGACGAACAACAAAUUUAUUUAUAAAGCAGAGCCAAAACUGUGUCUUAACUAACAGUCUGGUAGCUAUAUGGCUUGAUACCGAACCAAUACACUUUGAUUUUGUCAUUAUAGAAACAAUGAGCGGCAGUGUUGGAGACUUACUAUCGGCCAAGAAUUUGGAAAUUUUAGCCAGCCAUAAAGUUGAGGAUAUACUCCGAAAGUCUAUUGAUGUCCAUAGCGUUCUGGAAACAGACCAUCCUGAAGUUGCUCUUAAAAAGUUAAACAAAUUUCAGAUUUUAUCUCUCCCAGUCUAUACCAGCGACAGUACCCACAAAUUCAAAAAUUUCAUAAAUAUUUUAGAUUUGGUAACGUUCAUCAUGAGAAUUGUUCAAAUACACAGAAAAGAAUCUACGUUCAGUUCUCAAAGCUGGCAAGAAAUUUUGAAUACAGAGUCUAUGUGGCGCAAUGCAACGUGUGGAAUGAUCAUUAAGGAUUUCAAACUUCAGCAAGAAAAGUGCUUGUAUCUGUCUUCUGAUAGUAGUGUCUCCUCUCUUGUGAGAGCUGUAUUCACAUUAAGAUCCUUUCAUCGCAUAGCCGUAUUUAAUAAUGUCAAUGAUACAAAAUUGCUCGGAAUCAUUACGCAGGGCACUCUCGUCCGUUAUUUAUACAAUAUUUUAGACCAUUCAGACCCCUUCUUUUUGCAGUCAAUCGACGUGCUUCAUCUGGAUCACUCGACGACUCAUUUUGUCAAUCAGAACGUAACAAUUAGCAAGGCGUUUGAAUUGUGCAGAGCGCAUCACAUGAAUGGAGUUGGCGUGGUAGACGAUGAAGGAAAAUUGAUUGGGAAUGUGUCUGCUUCUGAUAUGCGGAAUGUACAGAAUUAUACGGUUGAUGACAUUGUUAAAUUCUGUUCUAAGCCUUGUGCCUGGCUCAAAGUCUACGCCGCCAAAGAAUGUUAUCCAAUACCUAUUAGUGUUUCCCCGGACGUAAACAUUAACGACGUUUUGAAUUUAUUCGUUGGCACGCGCAUUCACAGGGUGUAUGUGAUUGACCAGGACAAAAAGCCUCUGUCCGUCAUACAGUUGGGCGACAUCAUCUCGCUUAUCAGUGAUAAUUUUAAGGCGCUUGCGUGCAAAAAAAAACGCGAAUGAAUAUUUCUGGAGUAUGUUGAUUUGUGUAUGCUGCGGCUAUAAUGAUUUUAUAAACAAAUGCCAAUUUAAAUUGA